UCUGGCGGUGCUGGAGGCGCGCUUGUGGUGCCGUGAAUGCCGCGGCUGGAACUGAGAAUAUUGCGAGUGCCGGCCGCUUUAAGAACCGCCAAAGUCAAGCAGCGUUUUGCCAGCGCUCAGAGAAAAUCUGCGCCAGUACCUGUACCUGACUCGAUUAGCUGGAAAACUUCGGCUGCACUUCGUUGGGCGAUCGUGGUUCUUGGCGGUUCUUGGCGGUUCUUGGCGUUUCGGAUAAGGAAGUAUCCACCGAACAGCUGAAGACAUCCCAUCCGCACGGUGUGUACCCAAAAAUCUAGUCCACACUCGAAAAAAAUUAACUUCAAGAUGGUAACGAACAUCCAAUGAGCCAAAAGCGUCCAUGUUUGUUGCUCAAAGUGGUGUCAUAAUGCGAGUAAAUAAGUCAUUAGGUAAAUGUUUUCCAUUGCGGAAUUAUCUGCUAGCGUUCCAUUCAAAUUACCUAUGAGAUAAGCUGGGAAUUCCAUGUUACUUGAAAAGCCGCUGGUGAUAAAUUUAUGAAGUGAUCUUUCCUCUUUGUCAUUUCUCUGCGUGUAAGGAAACCCCGAAUGCGAGCUGUUUGCUGAUUAACACACGAAGAUCGUUGAUAGGACAGCAGAUACCCCGAUAGGUAGAUAUAGAUAUAUACUAGCUGUGGGCAUACCUGGAUUUAUCAACCCAAGCCAACGUAGGUGGGGUCCACUGUACGGCGCUAUAGGGGACACACUUGGACUUCGAUAAAAGCCGGCAGGCGGGUAUAAACUGAAAAUGGUCAGCAGUAGUAAAUACCUCCAGAUAGACGGACCCGCAGACCCAGACACAGUAAAAGCACUUUAUGAACUUAUCCGAGCCGGCCGUGACUGGACAGUUUCCACAAAGAUUAGACCGGCGAAGAAAUCACCCCGAAAUGACCAAUCAAAUGAAAAGGAAACGAAAACGAAAACAGAACCGCAGACAAAACCAAUUAGGAAUCGAUAAUCGCCGGGGUAAUUAGGGCAGCACAUAUAGAUUCAGAAGAAUUCCAGUCAUUGGCCAAUUCAAGUUUUUUACAAUCCUACGACCGAAGACUGAAGACCAAAUACCGCUCCUGACCAGUUUCACAGUUUAGGCAAAUCUCUGACGCAGAGUUCAGUUCGUCUUCAGCUUCAACUUUGAUAUCGCAAUCGUUUUUUAUCCAAGACAGAAUAGUGCGGCAAUCAAGGGUUCCUUUGAUCGAUUGCAUUGAAUCAUGGGAAUUGGAAAUUGGAAAUCGACAUUAUUGGGGGGAUCGCAAACCAUAUCGGUCUGUGGCUAGCAGGAUGAUGACUUCGACUCCCUUAUCGCGCGGCGAUCACGUCAAUCCCGCUUUUUGGAUAAGAGCCCUUGAAACGGGUAAGUACAUAAAUUAUAAAAUUAGAUGGCACGUUUAGCUUGCAGGUCCAUAAAAAUGGCGAUAUCUCGCACCCGAUAUGCCACUUCCUGGGAUGAUUCCCCCACUGCGAUGCAGGCUGAAAGAAAAUUGAAUUAUAAGCCCGGUUUAUUCUGUUUCAAUAAUGUUUUAUUUUAAUGUACUUGCAUUAUAUUUAGUUAAUAACUAGAUUUGUAAAUUAUUCUCACUUGAAUGCGUCUAUAAAUUAAAUCUUAUUCGUAACUCUUCGUCUCUCAGCAUUACUAGAUAAGAAAAAAAUAGAAGUACCACACACAUACGAUGAUCUUUGAGGGAGGACACUCUUCUCUUCUCGCUAUCGACUAAGAUUAGUUUCAAUAUGUGCUCUACAUCAUGUCUGUUGUGUUUGCAUUAUCUCUAUGUCAGUAAAUCAGUUAUCAGUUUAUCAACAAUUGUACAAGUGACAAAUCUACAAUGAAUUCGAUAAAAAACACCGAGAACGUUGACAACUCUGGCGCACACAAACUGAAGUUCUACUCUCAUCUAGUCUAAUGCUCCAUUUAAAAGUAACCAAUAAUUAGUAAUUUAGUGUUCCAUAGGCUAAAAUGUAGUUCUCUUUCAACCGAAUUUUCAAAAAGGCGACAUUAAAACGAGGAUCCAUUAAACGAAUUUGCACUACAGUGUGGAAGGCAGCAGGAGGGGGCGGUGUGGGGGCUCGAGACCCCCUCGCCAGAAACCUCCGUGGCCUCUCCAAAAGUUGAUCAAGUCAAUGUUUUAGUUUAGGAUAACAAUAAGAAUGAACUACUUUUAAUUAUCAAGUAAAUGAUAAAAUAAUUACACAAGAAAGAUCUAAAAACAAACAGCAAAAAAAAUAAUUGUAGUAAUAAUAAUAAUAAUGGUAUAAUGAUAGCGUUAACUAUAAUAUUUGUAAACUACCGUAGAAGAAGAAAAACACUCCAAGUCUUUCAUGUUGACCAAAUAGAUAGAUAUUGUGUGGAUCAUCACUUGUACUUUAUAUUAUCUAAGUAAUUUAAUUAUGACGAUGACGACAUGAGAACGAUGACGACGACUAUUAAGCUGAAUAAUGAUUUAACCUGAAAUCUUUAUAAAACGAUUUAUAAAUUUAUAGUAUUUUCGUUGCUGCCGAUCGUUUGUCAAUGUAAAAUACAUUUAAAAUAAAACUCUAAUUCUUCUCAACAAAAAUAAAUAUGAUUAACACGGUUGGUUUCUUGAUUGGUUGGUUGGUUGGUUGGUUGGUUGGUUGGUUGGUUAGUGUGUUAUUGUGUUAUCGAUGUGUUGUUGGUUGAUGUUGUUGUGGCUGUGCUACACUUAGAACAACUCUAGCUAAAGUUGCUGCUAGGCUAGACACCCAGAAUUGGUAGCUUUAAGCGAUAAGUUUGCAGCAAUUAGCUUGCUUCUUGUCGUUUUAAGAAAGUACCUCUUGCAUAUACAAAAGAAGUUUGAAAGAAAGGCAUUUAGAGGUUUUCACUCCUUCUUUUCAAUAGGCUAGUUUUGGUAGCAACAAUCAUUGUUUCUCAUUUCUUUUUUUCUUUUUUUUUUGCAUUACUUUGUCUGUCAAAAUGGAUUUUAUUUACAAUGGGUUUGGGGGAAAAGUAUCCAUUUCUUGAUGCAUUCAAGGUUUUUCUGUUUUUUUUUUUGGAUUGUUUGUUUUGUUUGUUAUGUUUUAUGUUUGUUUGUUGACUAACAAUGGCACACACGCAUAUAUAGUUAAUUAGAAUUUGUAACGUCACUUGUCGGCUUUUAAAUGGUUUUUUUCUUUGUUAGGCAUUCUGUGGCUUUAGUGCGGGUGUGGUGAGGUGAGGCGAGUGGUUGCUGCUCCUCUAACUUCCUUCCUUUUUCGCUCCUAACUGCUUCAUCUUCUUUUGAUCUCCAACUUUCAGCUGUUCGAAGUAAUCUUGUACUUUUCGCGGUUGAGUAGUUUAAGUAUAUGAAUACAAAUUAACAAAAAAAUAUAUGAUGCAUGGUAAAUAUAUGAAGUGGUCGGUCAGAUAUUAUCAGAUGUUUAAAAAAGCCUAAUAUAAUAUUUACAGAUCUCAGCAAAUAGCAGCAUAAAACUAAAAUGAUGUCAGGUUUUUUCCUUUCAUUCUUACCCAGAGAUAUAUUUAGUUGUUUGUUUUUGUCGUUUUUCUUUAUAUCUGAUGAACGCUUGAUAUUUUAGUUAGGUUUAAUUAGUGUAUUUUUGUUUUUGUUUUUGCAUUUUGUUAACGUUAUAAAAACUAUUUACACUAGGUAGUAAUGCCUACUUAUAAACUGAGUAUGGUAAUAUCUUAAGCGGUUCGCUCUCAAGUCCGACAGCUCUAUCCGAUCCGUAGGAUGCCCGCCCGCCCAUGUGGUGCCAUGUGGUCACAAAUCAUAACCUAGCUGAUCGUCCCCCCAUUUUGGUAUCCAAUCCUGGGCAGUCAACAAACAAACGUUUGCCUUGUUGUGUAAUAUGUGUGGGUUAGUGAGGUGUUAGGUGCUCUUACUCAUAUAUGCGUGUGUGUAUCUUGCGUGUGGAUGUUGUUUGUUAUGUAAUG